rnacentral:rRNA from 1 species
UGAGGUAGGGGGCAAGAAAUAACAAUACAGGGCUAAUGUCUUGUAAUUGGAAUGAUGGCGACUUAAACCCUCGCCAGAGUAACAAUUGGAGGGCAAGUCUGGUGCCAGCAGCCGCGGUAAUUCCAGCUCCAAUAGCGUAUAUUAAACUUGUUGCAGUUAAAAAGCUCGUAGUUGAAUUUCUGCGUUGCGUUGUUCUUGCUUUUUGCUUGAUUUUCGCUUCGCUUUUUGUUUUUACUUUGAGAAAAUUAGAGUGUUUAUCGCAGACUUUUGUCUUGAAUACUUCAGCAUGGAAUAACAUAGUAGGACCUUGGUUCUAUUUUGUUGGUUUGGGACCUUGGUAAUGGUUAAUAGGAACGGUUGGGGGCAUUCGUAUUUAACUGUCAGAGGUGAAAUUCUUAGAUUUGUUAAAGACGAACUACUGCGAAAUCAUGAAAGGAACUAGAGCAAGUCUUCAUAC